ACGCUCGACACCUACGGGAAGCAGCAGUGGGGAAUAUUGCACAAUGGAGGAAACUCUGAUGCAGCGAUGCCGCGUGAGGGAAGAAGGUUUUCGGAUUGUAAACCUCUGUCUUUGGGGACGAUAAUGACGGUACCCAAGGAGGAAGCUCCGGCUAACUACGUUCCAGCAGCCGCGGUAAUCUGAGCGGGCUGGCAAGGC
rnacentral:rRNA from 1 species